rnacentral:misc_RNA from 1 species
GAUCAAAAUUUUGAGUUUCAUUACUUUCAUCAAUCUUAUGGAGCGAGCCUUCCCUUUUUAUUUGUGCAUCCUUAAAUGAUACCUCCUUCUCCACUGAUUGAACUUCAUCAGGUUCGUUCAGCUUUGGAGUUGAGGUAUCUGUAAGUUUCCCCUCCUUUACUGAUGCAUCUGAAUCUUGAGUGUGAAAACCAAUGACUGGAUAGUCUGUAGCCAAGCCACCAUGUUGAUUCACAUACCCUUUGCUGGGCAUUGAAGGUACAUUUUCUACAGGUGUUGCAUUGUUAUUAACAACAUAAUCAUGUUGAGACUGAAUAGAUGAAGAGACCGACGUCUUUCCAGUUUUUUCAGGUAAGCUCUGCAUGGG